AUGGUGUUGCUCUGUAUGAGCAGACACUGAAGUCUUCUGAAAUGGUAUGGUGAUACUCUGUGUAUCAUGGCUGUCUCAACUGUGACAUGUGCUGUGAUAUAUGGUUCUCUGUGGACAUCCAAACAUCUGUUAUAGAAAGCUGUUUUUAUAGGACAGUAACAUACAGGAAUAGGGAAUGAAGGUGCCCAAGUAUGCCAGAUAAAAAUGUCCUUGCAUGAAUGGUU